GAUGAACGCUAGCGGCAGGCUUAAUACAUGCAAGUCGUGGGGCAGCAUGAGUAGCAAUACUUGAUGGCGACCGGCAAACGGGUGAGGAACACGUACACAACCUUCCUUCAAGCGGGGAAUAGCCCAGAGAAAUUUGGAUUAAUACCCCAUAAUAUAUUUGAUAAGGCAUCUUAUUAAAUAUUAAAGCUUCGGCACUUGAUGAUGGGUGUGCGGCUGAUUAGAUAGUUGGCGGGGUUAACGGCCCACCAAGUCUACGAUCAGUAGCUGAUGUGAGAGCAUGAUCAGCCACACGGGCACUGAGACACGGGCCCGACUCCUACGGGAGGCAGCAGUAAGGAAUAUUGGACAAUGGACGAAAGUCUGAUCCAGCCAUGCCGCGUGAAGGAUUAAGGUCCUCUGGAUUGUAAACUUC
rnacentral:rRNA from 1 species